AUUAGAUACCCCGCGUAGUCUACGCUGUAAACGAUGGAUACUAGCAGUUUUGGGUAUCGACCCCCAGAGUUGCGAAGCUAACGCGUUAAGUAUCCCACCUGUGUAGUACGAUCGCAAGAUUAAAACAUAAAGGAAUUGACGGGGACCCGCACAAGCGGUGGAGCGUGAUCUUUAAUUCGAUGGUAAACGAUAAACCUUACCAAGGCUUGACAUCCGAGGAAGGCUCUCGAAAGAGAACCGUGCCUUCGGGAACCUCGAGACAGGUGAUGCAUGGCCGUCGUCAGCUCGUGUCGUGAGAUGUUUGGUUAAGUCCAUCAACGAGCGCAACCCCCAUCGCCAGUUGCCAACAGGUAAAGCUGGGAACUCUGGCGAGACUGCCGGCGCAAGCUGCGAGGAAGGCGGGGAUGACGUCAAAUCAGCACGGCCCUUACGUCCGGGGCGACACACGUGUUACAAUGGCAGGUACAGCGGGAAGCCACCGGGCGACCGGGAGCAGAACCCGAAAACCUGUCUCAGUUCGGAUUGGAGUCUGCAACUCGACUCCAUGAAGCUGGAUUCGCUAGUAAUCGCGCAUCAGCCACGGCGCGGUGAAUACGUUCCCGGGCCUUGUACACACCGCCCGUCAAGCCAUGGGAGUCGGGAGUGCCUGAAGUACGUGACCGCAAGGAGCGUCCUAAGGCAAAACUGAUGACUGGGGCUAAGUCGUAACAAGGUACC
rnacentral:rRNA from 1 species